CUCUAAUCUAUCUUUGAUGUGCACAAUAGAUACCUCACCAUAGUCGCAAUUCGCAAACCUAAAACCCUGAAUGCCAAACUUCAUUCAUUGAAUUGGAUUGAACCCCCAACCCCCGCGCGCCCAAAAUGCUUCAAGUUUGCAGAUGUUACAGAAAACCUUCAUUUCUCUCUCCUUUAUUCCUCAUUUCUCCACCUUUCUAUCCACCUAUUAAACUUGUUUCUUUGAGGCCUCUUCAUCGCAAGCAUACCUUCACCACUCUUCAAACUGCUAAAGCUUUUGCAUCCUCAACUGUUGAAGCUGUUAAUAAUGGAAGCAGCGGCAAUAAUACUGACACCUUCUUUGCAAACGAUGCCGUUUCAUGGACUUCACUUGGUCUAUCUGAAAACCUCAUUCAUUCUCUCUCUAAUGCUGGCUUUCCUAGGCCCUCCAUUAUUCAGGCUGCUUGCAUACCAUCUAUACUAUCAGGAAAUGACACAAUUGUUGCUGCAGAGACUGGAAGUGGUAAAACACAUGGCUAUCUUGUUCCACUGAUGGAGAAGCUUCUUCGUGCACGCAAUGAUCCAGGGAUUGAAGCUCCUAUUGGAAAAAGUAACUCCUUUCAGCUUUCUCUUGUUCUCUGUCCUAAUGUUAUGCUGUGCGAGCAAGUGGUUCGCAUGGCUAACUGUCUCUGUGGGGACAAUGCUGAACCUCUCCUUAGAGCAGCUGCCAUAUGUGGGAAGCAGGGAUGGCCCCAGAAGAAACCAGACAUUAUUGUCUCAACACCUGUUGCUCUUUUGAAUUAUCUUUAUGCUGUUGAUCGAGAAAGAAAUCGUGAAUUUAACUUUGUGCGUGGGGUGAAACAUGUGGUGUUUGAUGAAGCUGAUCUAUUACUUUGUGGUAGCUUCCAGAAUCAAGUUAUUCGACUCAUAAACAUGCUUCGUUUUGACGAGAAGUUAUUGUCACGAUCACAGACUAGUCCAUCUAUAGAAACAAAUCAAUCAAAUUCUGACACCCAGCUGUCAUUUGAUUGUGAAGAUGAAGAUGAAGUUGAUAGGGAUAGUGAUAUCUCAGAGGAAGAAGAAGAGAUUGUUGACAAUGGGACACCAUCUGUAAAUUUGGUAGAAGAGGUAACUGGCUCAUCUAAGAGAAAGGACUGGAGAAGAAUUCGUAAAUAUUAUGAUCGCAGUAAGCAGUAUAUCUUUGUAGCUGCAACUCUUCCAGUAAACGGAAAGCAAACAGCAGGUGGAGUCUUAAAAAAGAUAUUUCCUAGUGCUUGCUGGGUAAGUGGAAAUUAUCUGCACUGCCACAACCCUAGGCUAGAGCAGAGGUGGGUGGAAGUUUCUAUUGAUACCCAAGUUGAUGCUCUUAUAGAUGCAGUGAACCAAGGUGUCAAGCUCAAGUCGAAUGUUUCUGAUGCUGCUUUAAGUAGGACAAUGGUGUUUGCAAAUACUGUUGAAGCAGUAGAAUCAGUAGCUAAAAUAUUGCAGACUGCUGGGAUUCAAUGUUUUUGCUACCAUAGAAAUAGCUCUCUUGAAGAGUCUACAAAGAACUUAACUGACUUCAGAGAAAGGGGUGGGCUGCUAGUGUGCACUGAUGCUGCAGCUCGUGGUCUUGACAUUCCCAAGAUAUCACACGUAAUUCAGGCAGAAUUUGCUUCUUCUGCUGUGGAUUUCCUGCAUAGAGUUGGUCGUACAGCCCGAGCAGGUCAAUUUGGUCUUGUGACAAGCUUAUAUAGUGAACAGAAUCGUGAUCUUGUGACUGCAGUCCGUGAAGCAGAAAAGCUGGGAGAGCCAGUGGAGACUGCAUUUAGCCGGAAAAGAGGCUUCCGGAAUAAGAUUAAGAAGAGAGGUGAACAAUUACGAAGAAGAUUCAACGCUGAGAGUAGCUAAUCUCAUAUUCUUACCACUCGUAUAGUUCAUCCACUCAUAUUGGAGUUCAAAUCUCAAAUAGGUUGCAAUUAAAGCUAAUCUAAACAGAGUAGCUGGACAAGUCUGAACAAGGCUAGGGUUGCGUCCCCUGUUGUGGAGGUCCUGUAAGAUGAUUUCUGAUUUUGGGGUAAUUGUAAGGUUAUUUAUUGUACUCAGACUGUACUGUAUUCGGUUCUCUAACUCUUGUACAUAAUUUCUUAUCUGUGGAAUUUUAAUGAAGAAGGCAGCAUAUGAUUUUGGGAA